rnacentral:rRNA from 1 species
UACAGAGGCCCCAAGCGUUACUGAGAAUCACUGGGUUUAAAGGGUGCGUAGGUGGCGCGUUAAGUCCGUUGUGAAAUCCCUGGGCUCAACCCAGGAAUUGCUUCGGAUACUGGCGUGCUUGAGGCCGGUAGGGGUCACUGGAACUGACGGUGGAGCGGUGAAAUGCGUAGAUAUCGUCAGGAACGCCGAUGGUGAAGACAGGUGACUGGGCCGGAACUGACACUGAGGCACGAAAGCUAGGGGAGCAAACAGG